rnacentral:rRNA from 1 species
GAUGAACGCUGGCGGCGUGCCUAAUACAUGCAAGUCGAGCGAACAGACGAGGAGCUUGCUCCUCUGACGUUAGCGGCGGACGGGUGAGUAACACGUGGAUAACCUACCUAUAAGACUGGGAUAACUUCGGGAAACCGUAGCUAAUACCGGAUAAUAUAUUGAACCGCAUGGUUCAAUAGUGAAAGACGGUUUUGCUGUCACUUAUAGAUGGAUCCGCGCCGCAUUAGCUAGUUGGUAAGGUAACGGCUUACCAAGGCAACGAUGCGUAGCCGACCUGAGAGGGUGAUCGGCCACACUGGAACUGAGACACGGUCCAGACUCCUACGGGAGGCAGCAGUAGGGAAUCUUCCGCAAUGGGCGAAAGCUUGACGGAGCAACGCCGCGUGAGUGAUGAAGGUCUUCGGAUCGUAAAACUCUGUUAUUAGGGAAGGACAAAUGUGUAAGUAACUAUGCACGUCUUGACGGUACCUAAUCAGAAGGCCACGGCUAACUACGUG